rnacentral:rRNA from 1 species
UACGGAGGGUGCAAGCGUUGUCCGGAUUUAUUGGGCUUAAAGGGUGCGUAGGCGGAUUGGUAAGUCAGUGGUGAAAGUUUGCAGCUCAACUGUAAAAUUGCCAUUGAUACUGUCAGUCUUGAGUGCAGUAGAGGUGGUUGGAAUGCGUAGUGUAGCGGUGAAAUGCUUAGAUAUUACGAAGAACACCAAUAGCGAAGGCAGAUCGCUAGGCUGUAACUGACGCUGAGGCACGAAAGUGUGGGGAUCGAACAGG